AUCGCUUCUCAGCCUUUUGGCUAAGAUCAAGUGUAUUAAAUGUGCUUCAUACAAAUUACUUGUUUAUUAAUAUUUUUAAUGUUCUAGGAAAAUUCAUUAAAGACUUGCAACAGUGAAUGGUUUUAUCAAGAAACCCAU
ensembl:snRNA U2 U2 spliceosomal RNA